rnacentral:lncRNA from 1 species
CAGAGUCUCCUGGAGGGAGAGCGAGGAAUUUGUGAAUAGAUCUAUUCGGGACUGACAAUCCCACACCUUAACUGCUAGCUACAGUUAGGCGGGCACGCCUGGGGUGACAAAUUCUGGAUAUCGUCCGACGUCUGACAAGCGUCAAGGAGGUCUCGUUGUCGUAUCAGCAUGGUUACCCGACUCACAAUAUGUAUUAAUAUAAGUUUAUUCACGACUUUGGUUUUGGAUUUGAUUUUAUAUCAAUCUUCUAUCUUUAGAUCUUAUAUCUAGUUCGGGACGGUAAUCCCAUGGUUUUUGGUCUAUAGGGUUCAUAUCUAUUGCAGGAUGUUAUUCCUAUGGUUAGAAUCUAUAUCUAGUUCGGGAUAGUGAUCCCAUGGUUUUAUCAAACUAUCUUAUAUCUAGUUCGGGAUAGUAAUCCCAUGGUUUUAUCAAACUAUCUUAUAUCUAGUUCGGGAUAGUAAUCCCAUGGUUUUAUCAAACUAUCUUGUAUCUAGUCCGGGAUGGUAGUCCCAUGGUUUUCAGUCUAUAUUUUCAAGUAUAUCAAACUAUCUUGUAUCUAGUCCGGGAUGAUAGUCCCAUGGUAUUAAAUCUAUAUGUAGUACGGGAUGUUAGUCUCAAGGUUUUCAAACUAUUUUCCAUCUACAGUUCACGUAUAUUAAAGUAUUUUAUAUCUAAUUCGGGAUAGUAAUCCCAAGAUUCUCAAUAUAUAGUUUUGUGUAUUAAACUAUACUCUGUGAUAUUCAAUCGGUCUUGCAUUUAGGAAAAUAUGGGAUUUUCCUGGGGUAACAUAUAACGCGUAAUUGAACUGUAAUGAAAGAUAACUAAACUGUUUUACAUAAGAAAAUAUGGGAUUUUCUUGGAUAACAAACCUUUUCGGAAAACUAAAGGAAACUGGUACAUUUUUCAGAAAACAAACAUCUUAUGAACUCACCAGCUUUAUGCUGAUUUUCAAACCGCUUGUAUUCUCAGGUCCACGUUAGACAGGUACCCGACGAUAUCUUUUGGUGAAGACGGAGUGCUCAGAAGACUCGUCUCUACUUUUGUUCAUAUGAUAUAUGUAUAACACUUGUACAAUUUACUUUUGAAACAAAUGUAAACUUUCAAAUAUAUGUAAUGUAAUGGUUGUUUACUGUGAUUACUAUGUACAUUGGAUUUGAUACUCAACGUGGAGUCAACCCCGGAAAUGUUUCCGCCUUUGGUUUUCGGGGUGUGACAGAUUGGUAUCAGAGCCCUUGUUUAUAGUGAACGGAGUAUACCAAACCUUACAUGGUAUAAAACUAUAAACAUUAAGGGGCCUAAGUGCUCUGAACUAAAAGUAUCCUACAAAAUAUAAGUAUUUUCAAAAGUAUAUAAGUAUGCCGAGCCGUCGAAAUCCGUAACUACAAGUAGAACAAAACAUAAGUAAAUGGGUGUUGUACGCUGCGGUUAAACCUGGGCAGUUAUGUAGUCGUGUCUAGGGUCAAUAUAGCCUGGCCAACUAUAUUCAUUCGAGACACGGCCAACAUGUGCUUGGGAGUGACUGUGGUACGCAGCAUACCUAAAACUUACCCAAUACCCCAAACAAGGAGUCAUCGUUGCAGUGAAUCAUGAAAUACUAUGGGAGUAUUUCUCGAGCCGAUCCUUGAUAGAAAAUCCUCGUAUACGCGUUGUUCCUUGAUCAUUCCUCUAGCGAUAAAAUGUUCNUAAAGUUUUCUACCUUGAUAACUCUUUCCUGCUUUAUCGCUUAAUAAGAUGCUAUAUCUGUCUUGAUGAGAUAUCCUCUGUUCCAUAUCUCAGGAUUCAAUUCAGAGGACUUAUGAUCCUCUCUUUCUUGAUCUUUUUAAAUCAAGAUGCUUCCAAGAAAGAGACCCAGCUCGAAGAACACCAACAACCCUCUGCCACCACCUCCUCCUGAAUUUGACCCUGUGAUGUUCCAGCCAACUGUCAAUGCCGCGGUGGCAGCUGCUAUGUCUCAAAGGAACUCGGAUGGUUCCGGUGGUACCCAAACCCAAAACCAAGAGAACAGUCAGGGACACCAAAAAGAGGGUUCCUAUAAAGACUUCAUGAAUGCGAAACUCACAUCCUUUGAUGGCACCGGAGGUGUCAUUUCCCUCACCCGAUGGUUCGAGAAAAUCGAAUCUAUCUUUGAGAUAUGUGCCUGUUCGGAAUCUGACAAAGUAAAGUUCGCCGUCUGCACCUUUCUUGACAAAGCCCUAACUUGGUGGAAUGGCCGAGUCAAAUCCUUAACACUACCUGUAGCAAAUGCCAUGGGUUAGGAAGCUAUAAAGGAGCUUCUACUCACAGAGUAUUGCCCUCGGGGAGAAAUUCAGAAGCUAGAGCACGAACUCUGGAACCUAAAGAUGAAGGGUUCCGAUAUAGCUGCUUAUACUUCAAGAUUUGAUGACCUGGCGUUACUUUGUCCGGGAAUGGUUACCCCGGAGAGUAAAAAGAUUGAGAGGUUCAUCUGGGGAUUGAACCCCCAACCAAAGGGAAUGUCUUGGCUGCGAAGCCAGACACCUAUGAUAGUCCUAAAUGUCUUGCGCAAAUCCUGAUCGAUCACGAAGACAACUCUGAUGAGAAGGCUACCACUCUCGAACCGGUCACAAGUGGAGGUGGAAGAAAAAGAAAUUUUGGAACAAGAGGAAGGCCCAGAGUACGCAAGGGUCUUCUAAGAAACAGCAAACAGUAGCCGUCCAUGCUGCUACUGCCCCUGUUGCUGUUUCAGUUGUCGGGUCCACGGCCCAAACUCCUACCAGUGGAUACACUGGUACCCUUCCUUGGUGUGGUAAGUGCAGCUACCACCACCGCAUUCCUGGUCCAUGUCGCGAAAGGAUCUGUGAAAACUGUGGCAAGAAGGGCUAUCUUGCUCGAACCUGCAGCAAACCAGCCAAAUCAACGAACCAAUCAUCCGGAGCGGGAAUCAGUCCAGCCUGCUACAGUUGUGGCGAAGUAGGGCACUUCAAAAGAAAUUGCCCCAAAGAAGCUACAACCGCUGAUCCCACUGUCGCCGCAGGUAUACUCCUUUUUAACGAUUCUUAUACCUGCAACUCUUUUCGAUCCUAGUACCAGAAGGGAAACUUGUUAUCUAUCCAUCCGAGCAAUUUCUAAACUUAAUCCUUUGUUUGUAAUCGAAAUUGAGUACAAUCGAGACGGCUAACCAGUGAGAUAGAGAACACUAACUUCGUACCUAUAGAUUGUAUCCUCAGUCCGGAGGAUUAUUCUGUUCCAUUCGAUUUAAAUGGGGGAAAGUUUUUCACGAAAUACUUUGAUGCUAUGUUUGACAUGAAAUGACCGAGUCUCAUUCAUGUUGUUAUCUUUGGUUUCGAAAGGGUCGCUCGUCUAGAUCUCUUCCCCGACCCGGCUCUCGUGAUCUUCGGCAUCAAACCAUCGUAUCAUUUCAUGCUUUAAAGCUUAAAAGUUUUCCCGAUAUGAAUUGCCAUGCACCCCUUGUUCCUGUAACCAUUGAGAAACGGGAAGUCUGCAACUCUUUUCCCUAAAUGUCUUUCCCAAAGAAUUCCUGAGAAUUCCUUUCGAACGUUUAGCUUAGUUCUGCAUCGGCCUAAUCUCUGGAUCUACCUCGUGACCGAACCUCAGUGAGAAUGACGUGUUUAAAACGGUGACCAAGAACUGAUAUGAUCACUACGGAUUAGUAGUGGUAUCCUUUCGGUCGAAUCUCUUUCCCUCGAUCAUGUAGCCAAGCAAAGUAGUCGUAACCGUGUACUUUUCCAACGUCUAAGGCAAUAGGGAAUUAGUCGGCACCGAAAANCUAAGGCAAUAGGGAAUUAGUCGGCACCGAAAAUACACAUAGAAACCUAACGAUUCUUGGGUCCCAUCGACUAAUAUCACAGUCUUACCCAUAAAUUUCUUCUAAAGCCAUCAACCCCUUAGCUACCCGGCUCCUUGAAGACGUGCCUUCCUGUUGGAGCGUGUGUCCUGUUGAUGGCUUUAUCCCAGAAAAGCAUGAUAUGCUUUAGGAAGUAUAGAAUACUUCCUUCGCGAUACAUCAGGCCUUUCGAGACCUUCGUAGAAUUGAUUCUGCAAUCUUCAGACUUUGGAUGCCCUUAGAGCUUAGUAUCAUUUAUUCGGUACUUCACGUCUCGAAUCCUUAAAAGUACGUAUCCAACGAAACCCUAGUGAUUUCCUUUGAGGAAACCGAAGUCGUCCAGGGUUGAAACUUCCAUGAGAGAACCGAUUGAGGUCGUAGAUUCAGAGAGAGUCAAUGUACGAAACAAAGACACGUCCCGAUAGUGAGAAUUCGCUAGAACGCCCAGCAGAGACCUGAUCCCACAUGAGAACGUGAAGAUCCGAGGCAACAAAUCCAUUCGUGUCUCAUUCCAAUUCAUGAUCUAUAUCUUAAUCUUUGAAUUUCGGGACGAAAUUCCCUCUAACGGGGGGAUAAUGUAACAACCCGAAGUUGUUCAUCGCCGAAAACCCAUUCUACCCGUAUAACUCGCCGUAUAUCGAAACGUUCCGAUGUCGUUUUUGGGUUAAGUUAAUUAAACUUAUAUGUUUAAUUGAUGCUAAUGAGUGUCCAAACCCCUUAGGAACCCAUGAAAUUAGCCCAAAAUAGUUAUUUCAAAAAUUAAAGAAACGUCCCCGCCGGGUUACAAAAACUUAAUCGGGUGCGACCAAAAGCCCCGUUUAAUGCCGGUAUCGGGUAGAAUUCCACCGUGUCCAAGUUUUGCAACCUAUAUAAACGUGCUAAACCUUUCAUUUGAAGCUUUUUCUCUCUCUCACUACUCUCUCUCUAACCUCUCUCCUAAAUUCAAGUUUAAGGGUCCAAAAUCUCAAAUUUAGGGCUUCUAAUCACCAAGGUACCUUCCCCAGCUUGUUGUACAGCCUCAUUAGCCUUCAAAUCCGAACUUAAACUUUGAUUUUGGACCUCAAACAUGAGUUUACGGACAAGGAGCAUGCUUGGGCCGUAAACUCAUAAUAAGAGGGUUUUUAUGCCUUUAAACCCCUCCUAAACAAUUUUGGGACUUAGAUAUGGCUUAAUGGCUUAAUGGACUGGACUUAGAAUGCCUUUAACAUGGAGUUUGAAGAGUAAACAUGAGUUUACUGCCCAAGAACAUGCUUGGGCCGUAAACUCAUAUAUAUGGGGUUUUUAUGACCUUAAACCCUUCCAAAACACUAAUAAGGCUUAGAUAUGAAUUUUAGAAUAUUGGUUUUAGCCUUAGAACACCUUAAACAUAUUAUUUGAGGGAAAAUUGAGAGUUUACGGCCAAGACUUAUGUUUGGGCCGUAAACCCUUCAUAUUGGGGAGUGAACUCCUUUAAAAGUGUUAAAAUGCCACUUUAACAGCCCUAAAGCCUUCGAAUAAAUUCUAGAAGUGUAUACAAACAAGUUUUAGACCUUUAGACAUAAUAAAUCCUACACUAGGAGAGUUCACGGCCAUGAGGGGGUCUCAUGGGCCAUAAACGGCCAAGACUUAUGUUUGGGCCGUAAACCCUUCAUAUUGGGGAGUGAACUCCUUUAAAAGUGUUAAAAUGCCACUUUAACAGCCCUAAAGCCUUCGAAUAAAUUCUAGAAGUGUAUACAAACAAGUUUUAGACCUUUAGACAUAAUAAAUCCUACACUAGGAGAGUUCACGGCCAUGAGGGGGUCUCAUGGGCCAUAAACUCCAAAAAUGUUGCCAAAAGUCCCUUAAAACCUCAUGAAAGGCCUUGGAACAAUUUUAGAAAUCACAUGUAAUUGAUUUGGAAGCAUUAAAACACUUAUUCAAGGGUGCAUAGGAGUUUACGGCCGUAAGCUCCAUGCUAAGGCCGUAAAAUCCCUUAAGUGGUCUUAUUUGAUGAAUUUAAUCAAUUCCAAGCCUUAAAUCAAACCCUAGAAAUUUUCCCCUAAGUGUUUCAAGCCAUUUUGCACCAUAAAACAUCCCACCAUGAGUUUCCGGCGGUAAACUCAUGGGGAGGGGCUCAUUAGGUCCGAAAUAUCCUCUAUGAGUUUACUCUUGAAGAGUAAACUCCAUAUCCAAGCCUUAUGUGACUUUAAACGCCACCCGGGUCCCUCCAAACACUUGUAAUGGGGUGUUUCCGCGACUAAAAGUAUUUGUCCCUAACAAUUAAAUAAUCUAAGUCCUAAUUAGAAACAAGUUUGUAUCUUUUCAUUAUACAUAGGAACCUCGUGCAUUUGCAAGCCCCGAACCAAUGUUUAGCAUCCUAAAUCGUCACGUUUCUCGUCCGGUGAGUUCAUAACCCUACCCUUUUUAAUUGGUUUUUCAAUGUUUUCAAGGGGGGAAUACAAGCAAAAGUACAAGAGUNAAUACAAGCAAACUAUAAAUGUUUUCAAAACAUAACUUUGAUGUAUUUCAAAUAAUAUCUGGCAAACUUAUAAAUACUUUUACUCCUUAUGUAUUAUGCUGAGCAUAAGGGAUGGUUUAUCAACUACAACUAAAUGGAUUUUAGUUAAGAAAAUAACCAAACUAAUCAAAUUAUUAUGGGAAUAAUUUGGGGGUUCUUUAGUUCUCGUUUUAUCAUGUACUGAUAUGUGUAUAAAGUUAUUAGAUAAACUACGUAUGAUUCAGUUUAUCUCUGUAUCAUUUGAAUGUAUUGCCAGAUAGUUUCAUUGUAUGUAUCUAUAUUCACUGUAUUAUGUUUCAUAAUCUUUUGUAUGUUUGAUAUUGUAUGGGAACCCUGUGAAUAGUUUAGUACUAGUUUGUGAGUUCGUCACUACCCUUUAUGGAUGAUCAGUAAAUCCUCCCCGGAAGUGUAACCAGAGUCUCCUAGAGGGAGAGCGAGGAAUUUGUGAAUAGAUCUAUUCGGGACUGACAAUCCCACACCUUAACUGCUAGCUACAGUUAGGCGGGCACGCCUGGGGUGACAAAUUCUGGAUAUCGUCCGAUGUCUGACUAACGUCAAGGAGGUCUCGUUGUCGUAUCAGCAUGGUUACCCGACUCACAAUACGUAUUAAUAUAAAUUUAUUCACGGCUUUGGUUUUGGAUAUAUAUCUAGUACGGGAUGGUAAUCCCAUGGUUUUUGGUCUAUAGGAUUCAUAUCUAUUGCAGGAUGUUAUUCCUAUGGUUAGAAUCUAUAUCUAGUUCGGGAUAGUGAUCCCAUGGUUUUAUCAAACUAUCUUAUAUCUAGUUCGGGAUAGUAAUCCCAUGGUUUUAUC